rnacentral:miRNA from 1 species
CUUCCGGUCAAUGAGAUAUAACAUCCUCAUUGACGGAAGGGAUUCCUUCCGGUCGAUGAGGUAUAACAUCCUCAUCAGCUGAUUGGAAGGAAUUCCUUCCAAUUGAUGAGGUUGUUAUAAACCUCAUUGAUUGGAAG